GCCCACGUAGCUCAGUUGGCAGAGCAUUUGCAUGGUAAGCAAAAGGUCGUCGGUUCGAUUCCGACCGUGGGCU
rnacentral:tRNA from 1 species